GAGAAAACGAGGUCUUGCCCAGAACUUCCUCAUCUCCUUUGUUCACCUCGAAAUGGUUCUGUGUUUUGUCACCUGCUUCCUGUUUCUCUUCUGUCCUGUGGGUGUACUUUCUCUCAAAAGAGAUAUAAUUAACACAGAUGUCCAGCUCAUAAAUCCCCAGCUUGAUACAGUUUUAGCUAAGUGUACACUAAAACCAAGGUGCAGAAUACCUCGCCCCCAGAAAGUUCCCUUGUGUGUCUUCCCAGUCAGUGGGCUCUCAGAGGGUCUGGGAACGAGGCGAAUAUGACAGUCCUUGGUCUGGUGAAGCAAAGUCAUGGGCAACCAGCAGGACUUCUAACAGGCUUUUUGAAAUACUGAAAAGGAGCUUAGAGACUUCCCCAUCUGACAAUUUGCUCAGUCUGGGAACUCAGCUUCUACCACUGGUCUAGUUCACCAUGCCCCAGUGUGCUCAAGAAUGCAACCUGGACCUGCAUGUGGCUAAGGAGGCCUAACACAGGAAAUGCUGCUCAGAGUGUAUAUGCACUGCUACAGAUUCACAGCAGC
ensembl:lncRNA